rnacentral:rRNA from 1 species
GAGGACGAUCAGACACACUGGAACUGAGACACGGUCCAGACUCCUACGGGAGGCAGCAGUGGGGAAUUUUCCGCAAUGGGCGAAAGCCUGACGGAGCAAUACCGCGUGAGGGAUGAAGGCCUAUGGGUUGUAAACCUCUUUUUUCAGGGAGGAACAAAAUGACGUGUACCUGAAGAAUAAGCAUCGGCUAACUCCGUGCCAGCAGCCGCGGUAAGACGGGGGAUGCAAGUGUUAUCCGGAAUCACUGGGCGUAAAGCGUCUGUAGGUGGUUAAGUAAGUCAACUGUUAAAUCUUGAGGCUUAACCUCAAAAUCGCAGUCGAAACUGCUUGACUAGAGUAUAGUAGGGGUAAAGGGAAUUUCCAGUGGAGCGGUGAAAUGCGUAGAUAUUGGAAAGAACACCGAUGGCGAAGGCACUUUACUGGGCUAUUACUAACACUGAGAGACGAAAGCUAGGGUAGCAAAUGGGAUUAGAUACCCCAGUAGUCCUAGCUGUAAACAAUGGAUACUAGAUGUUGAACAGAUCGACCUGUGCAGUAUCAAAGCUAACGCGUUAAGUAUCCCGCCUGGGAAGUAUGCUCGCAAGAGUG